rnacentral:rRNA from 1 species
GAUGAACGCUGGCGGCGUGCCUAACACAUGCCAGUCGAACGGAGAUUCCGGACGGAAGUUUUCGGAUGGAAGCCUGAAAUUCUUAGUGGCGGACGGGUGAGUAACGCGUGGGCAACCUGCCCUAUACAGGGGGAUAGCAGCUGGAAACGGCUGGUAAGACCGCAUAAGUCGGUUAAAUCGCAUGAUUUGAUCGGGAAAUGAGCAAUCAGGUAUAGGAUGGGCCCGCGUCCGAUUAGCCAGUUGGCAGGGUAAAAGCCUACCAAAGCGACGAUCGGUAGCCGGACUGAGAGGUCGGACGGCCACAUUGGGACUGAGACACGGCCCAAACUCCUACGGGAGGCAGCAGUGGGGGAUAUUGCACAAUGGAGGAAACUCUGAUGCAGCGACGCCGCGUGAGUGAAGAAGUAUUUCGGUAUGUAAAGCUCUAUCAGCAGGGAAGAUGAUGACGGUACCUGACUAAGAAGCCCCGGCUAACUACGUG